GCCGAAGUGGUGGAACUGGCAGACGCGCCGGACUCAAAAUCCGGUGGCCGAUGAGGCCGUGCGGGUUCGACUCCCGCCUUCGGCACCA
rnacentral:tRNA from 1 species